UAUAUAUUCAUCAAUUCUUAACAUAAACAUCUAUUUCUCAUAUAUAUAGAAUCUCAACAAAAAGGUCUACAUCCAUUUAAAUUCAUCAGUUCGAGUACCAUACACCAAAAUUUAUUUAAUCCAAAAAUCCAAUAUCAUCCAUUAAUAACAUAAAGUUACAAAAUUAUACUUCUACACUAAAAUCAUCAUACUAUAAUAAUAGAGUACCAUACACCUAAUAGCAUAAAUUAUACUUAUAUAUACUAAAAUCAUUCCAUAAUAGUAGAGUUAAUAUCAUAUAGCUAGAAUCAUCAAUUAUAAACCAUAAAGUUACAAAUUUAUAGUUGUAACCUCGAUUCCUUCUAUUUGUAUGCUUAACUUUGUCUCCUCCUUUAAUAGUUAACUCAUAAGUUGAUUUCGGGAGACCAUUCUUAAAAUCGCUAGGUUGAAUCAAUCCUCUCCAUAUUUCCACAGGGAUGUCCUCAGACCUUUUAAUUCUGAAAAGGAAAAAAAAAAAGAUAAACUCAGCUCAACAUAGAAGCAUAAUAAAGUUGACAACUUAGAGAAAAUAAAGCCUAGAAAUGACAACAACCAAUAUCACAAAGCUGUCAAGGAAUUUGAAUAAUACUCAAUUGAAAUAAUCAACACAUCCACACUUUUCAAUACAACAUUCAGUAUUAUUUUAAACCAACACAUAGUCUAACCUCUCUAAUCUUCUUGUUUUCAAAUCCACUUCAUAUUUAUGAAUAUGUUUCAUAUGUGCAAAAUAUUUUAACAGUACAAUGAUUGGCAGUUUAGACAUACCUGUCAAGAGAAGUCAAAUCCAGCUAUGGUACAUAAUAGGUCACCCAAAUUGUUUAACAUUUCCUAGAUAUCAGCAUACAUGGAAUCCAGGUUUGCAAGCAGUGCCUAAACAAAACCAACCAGAAUCACAUCAAAUGCACAGCCAACUCAUGUAAAAAGGAAUAAAUAGCUUGUAAGAAUUAAAUUUUAAGUGCUCUUGCAGUCUUGCACACACAGAAAAUGAUCCUACAUGAGAAAACAACACAAUUGAAGCUAUAUUAUUUGGAUUAAAAGACAAAUUAAAAUAAAAAAAGAUUAAGAAGCACAAACCUUCUAGCUUGACCAAGGACCUUGUGCAAGACUAUUAAGAACAUCUUCAUCUGGUCCGCUAUGACUAUCAAGAUUGUUUCCAAUCUGAAUAAGAAAAUGACAAUAGUUAUUCACAUUGCUAUUGAAAUUAGUGACUUGAUCUGAAAAGAACAUGUAGAAACACUCACAUGAUUGGCGAACCAAAGAACGAAUACUCUAUGUACUUUUUUGUCUAGCUCAGAAGCAUUCAUUCCCCUCAUUUGUCUCUUUACAAUAGUUCUAUAUUGCCUACAUAGUUAAAUAUAUCAUGAAAGAAGGGAGAGAUUGUAAAAAAGUGAAGAGAAGUGAAAGGCAUUGAAUAAAUAAUUGUGACUGAUGUGAUCGUGUCGAAGAUUUAUUAGAAUCAAACUCACUUAGCUUGUGAAGGUGUCUGAAUGACAUUUGUAGCAGUGUUUGAUGAUCUAAAACAGACAACAAAACAAGCCUAAUCAAAAUCUCAAAUCCCCAAAAGUCAUUCAUAAACCAGUCUCUGGAAGCACAAGAGUAAUGUUACAAAAGCUCCCUAUAUAUAAUAUCCAACUUAUUGCUGUAAGACAACUUACUUUUGAAAACCAAACCUAAUUGUAUUUUAGAAAGUAACCCAGUUGGAUAAUCAAAGCAAGGAGCAAGUAAAGGAAGUAAAAAUUAUAAACGGAAUAAUAAACACAAACACACAAUACUCAAGUAUGAUGAAAAAACAAAAGGACGUGGCUGAGUAGCAUAAAUCAAUUAGCAGUAGUACUCAAGUAUGAUAAUUGAAUAAAUCUCUUUAAAAUACUAUGAUAAUGAUUACCAACACAUAGUUAACUAGCAAUCAGCCAAGAUGGGAAAUUGAAACUUAAACAUCAGCACUCUCGUU
rnacentral:lncRNA from 1 species